AUUGAACGCUGGCGGCAGGCUUAACACAUUCAAUUCGAGCGAGCGGCGGACGGGGGAGAAAUGUCUGGGACACUGCCUGAUGGAGGGGGAUAACUACUGGAAACGGCAGCUAACACCGCAUACCAUCAUAUGUUCACAGAUGGGAUUAGCUGGUAGGUGGGUUAAUGGCCCACCUAGGCGACGAUCCCUCGCUGGUCUGAGAGGAUGACCAGGCACACUGGACCUUAUACACUGUCCAGACUCCUACGGGAGGCAGCAGUGGGGAAUAUUGCACAAUGGGCUCAAGCCUGAUGCAGCCAUGCCGCGUGUGUGAAGAAGGCCUUCGGGUUGUAAAGCACUUUCAGCGAGGAGGCGUUACUCGCAGAAGAAGCACCGGCUAACUCCGUGCCAGCAGCCGCGGUAAUAC
rnacentral:rRNA from 1 species